AGUGUAAGCGGGAUUGUGGACUUGAAGGCAAAGAAGAGGAUUGUCAAAGACUAAUAAUGGACAUCGUGUCCUAGUCUAUGGAAGGCAGAAUUGGUAUUUUUGACACCAUGACCAACUCCAAAGCAAUUAUCAUGGAGUUAGUUUUGAAGAAGCACAAUGCUAGCUUGCUGGUUACCUUUACUGGAUAAUGAGGGAUAAAGAAUGUCACUUUCAACAGAAAACAGUCUUUGGUUGGAUACAUGUUGGAGAAGAAGAGAGUUGAGUUGAAGUCCAAGAAGAAGAAGAAGAAAUCUAAGAAAGCACUGCCAAACCCUUAAGCUACAACACUUUCAACCACAAUUAUUACUCAUGAUAUAGAACCAACAACCAGGAAUGCAACAACGUUAAUCUUGCGUAGCAGUCAAUUUCAUCACGUCAAUCCUGAGCUAUCAGGCAGUAUAUAUGCAGAGAGAGACUAAAGUCUGUACUGGAAAAAUCAUGUGAAUUAUCUGUUCUAGUGGUAUGGAUUCCAAAUGGCCAAAUGGGAAUGUGGAAUGUGAAAUAGUAAGCAGAAGAUCGAUAAUAAGAUGCUUGGGGCUUAUUGAAAAUAGUAACCAGGUAAGCUUAGUGAAUAAGAUGCUUUGCGUGAUUGAGCACUUUCUCGGGAGUAUUGGUGUUAAAGAA